CCCGGGACGGCAGCGGAGUUGCGGCUGCUGAGCCGCUCACUGCCCUCUUGCUCCUUCCCCCUACCUUUAAACUCAGAGCCAAGUAGGGAUCUGCUGCGAGCCCGGCCCGGCCCCCAGCCCCGCUCGCGGCAGGCGCCUCAGAGACAGCAGCGGCGGCGGAGGCAGCGGCGGCUCGAGUCAGCUCCGCUCCACCCCCCCCUUCCAGCCCGGACUCGUACCGAAUCACCAGCGAUCAGCCAAAUAACAAGCUGUUGAGCAGUAGCUGCCCUGCUCGAACUCCCAUUGGCCCUUCGUGACGCCCAGGGGGCUCUACCCUGCCCGGAUUGGGCGCCGCGGUCAGCCCCCUCCCAUUGGUCACAGUGUACCAGUGAGAGCCGAUUGGUCAACAGACGACGCAGGUAAAGCAACGGAGACUUUUGAUUGGUGAAUCGGUGGAACUCGAGUCGAUUGGACAUUUCUGAAGUGAAGUAAUCGUACACCUCACGCUGAUUGGUACGAACUGGAUCCGGAUGUAGCUUUGCGUGCGAUGAUUGGCAAGCGCGGAGGUCAGGAAGAGCAGCGGGGCGAUGUGAUUGGUGUGGACUGUGUCAUAGACAUGGAGAGUGGGCGGAGCGAGAGGCCUGCAGCGGCGGCGGCGGCUGCAUAGCUCCGUACAGAGCAUGCGCCGCAAUAGGCCUCCCGGGCGCCAUUUUGUACGAUGCUCUUUCCCAUUUUAGGCGGGGAGGAAGGGAGCGGGAGUGGUCUCUGCGUUUCCCGGGGGGCUCUGCCUCGUCUCGGGCUAGGGGAUGGGCUCCGUGGGACUUCCGGCUGAAGGCUCCGUCUUCUCUCCUGCCCGGAGGCGAUGGUGGCUGUAGCGAGCGGGUAGCGUUUCCCCUCCCUUAGCGCGGUGAUGGCGCAGCAGCCGGGGGGAGGGGGAAGCUCGGCGAAGCCGGACCCGGAAGUGAAGGGACCUCUGAGGAGCCGCUCACCUAGCCCAUGGCCGCGGCGGAGGAGGAGGAGCUCCGUGAGGAGGGGGAAGUGGCAGCAGCCCGCAGUGAUGUCUGGGCCAUGGAGGCGGGGCCGUACAGGAGGUGGCCGGGUACGGCAGCUGAAGUGUUUUGUGUGGCAAGCGUGCAUUCUAGUGGAGCCUGAAUACCAACCUCCUUUGAACCUCGGGACAUCUGUGCCACUGGAAUUGACAUCUUCCUACAAAACGUGAGCAUGAACUACACUGUUUAUAAGCCAUAAAGCUUUAUUUUGUAUCACACAUGAUUGUGAGCUGUGUGAGAAGGUCUUUCUAGAUUAAAAAAGAAACAUUUCUUUCAGUGUUUGAAAAUAUAGAUGUCCUGUGAACACAAGCCCAUUGCAGGGGGGAAAAAAUCAGUAAAAGUAGCUGCAUUACUAAAUGAGAAGGGUUAAAUUAGUUUUAGUCAAAACAGUAUUUUCCAUUACCGUUAACCACACCUAGUAAGUUCCUCUUCUUGAUGCUUUCCAGUGAUGCUGAAGGCAUAAUACAGGUUUUCCCAAAAAGUUCACAACCUAUUUCGUGCCUUUUUUAAACAUGUUAAAAAAAAAAAAAAAAGGAAUUUUGUUGGAAUUGCUGGGGAAGUUGCAAUAAGAGUUGCCACCACAUAAGAGGUGUGAAUCACCAUUUUUAGGUCCCCCAAUGUUAAGGGUGGUCUUUUGGGUCAGUAUUACUGAUGUUUAGUUUGCGGCAGUGCAGUAACUCUUCUAGCUAUAUUGAAAUAUAGCAUUGUGUUUUAAUGCAACGUUAAAAAUUUUGCAUGGUGUCAAGUAUCAGGGGGUAGCGGUGUUAGUCUAUAUCCACAAAAACAACGGAGUCCGGUGGCACCUUAAAGACAUUUUAUUUGGGCAUAAGCUUUUUUUACCCACGAAAGCUUAUACUCAAAUAAAUCUGUUAGUCUUUAAGGUCCCA
ensembl:lncRNA